rnacentral:rRNA from 1 species
GAGUUUGAUCAUGGCUCAGAUUGAACGCUGGCGGCAUGCUUUACACAUGCAAGUCGAGCGGCAGCGCGGGAGCAAUCCUGGCGGCGAGCGGCGGACGGGUGAGUAAUGCAUCGGAACGUAUCCCGUAAUGGGGGAUAACGCCGCGAAAGCGGCGCUAAUACCGCAUAUGCUCUACGGAGGAAAGUGGGGGACCAGCGAUGGCCUCACGUUAUGGGAGCGGCCGAUGUCCGAUUAGCUAGUUGGUGGGGUAAUGGCUCACCAAGGCGACGAUCGGUAGCUGGUCUGAGAGGAUGAUCAGCCACACUGGGACUGAGACACGGCCCAGACUCCUACGGGAGGCAGCAGUGGGGAAUUUUGGACAAUGGGGGCAACCCUGAUCCAGCCAUGCCGCGUGCGGGAAGAAGGCCUUCGGGUUGUAAACCGCUUUUAGCCGGGAAGAAAAGGCACGGGUUAAUAGCUUGUGUUUUUGACGGUACCGGCGGAAUAAGCACCGGCUAACUACGUGCCAGCAGCCGCGGUAAUACGUAGGGUGCGAGCGUUAAUCGGAAUUACUGGGCGUAAAGCGUGCGCAGGCGGUUCGUUGUGUCGGUGGUGAAAGCCCCGGGCUUAACCUGGGAAUGGCCAUGGAAACUGGCGAACUGGAGUGUGGCAGAGGGGGGUGGAAUUCCGCGUGUAGCA